GAGGAGCCCUUUUGAUUUUUCUUUCUCUUCUUCCUCCAUUGUUGGAAGCCCAAGCUUCUUGGAGGUGUAGGAAGGACUCAAGUUUCUAGCCCAACCCACACUCUUUUCUUUGCCUCCUUGAGUCAAUAAAGAGGACCUGAUGAUAAACACGGUGUUGUCUCCCCUGUUCUACAUUGAUGUUAUUGAGACCAAGUGGGAACAUGAUGACAUGCUCCAUGUGGAUCACUUCUCUGGGUUCCUACAUAGCCAUCGUAAGCCAGAUGUACCAGGAGAUAGGAUUCGUAUCAUUGACUUUUUCUUUUCAUGGACCCAGCUUAUGCCUUUCUAUCAUCCUUCACAAUGCCCAUGCUCAAAGUGGUCAUUUCGCCCGAGAUGCUUUCGUUGUCUACUAACAUUGCGAUGUCUUUUUCUGAUUCUAACUCCUUAUCCAAGGUACUAAUAUUUCCUCUUCUUCCUUGAUGCCUCCUUUUUCAGUGUUGUUGAAGGCUUGGGUACCACUCGGGGUGGAUUUGGUGGAUCUCGUGUCGAAGGAUGAGGGAGAGAAUCUGAAGAAGGACACGUCGUACGAGGAGGAUCCAUCUAUGGACGAUGAGGACCCCACCACAUAGCCUAAGAUCAUGUAGGAAGAUUCCUCACAAGAUUUGUUUGAGGAGUCCUACUAGGAGACCUUCCUCUAUCUAACUUUAACUGAUUCUUUUUGUGGAUACGACUGAUUAUGGGAUUUGGGUGUAGGUGAUUGCUCUGGAUUUCUAGGUUUUACCCUUAUAUAUGUAUUUUGGGGAUGGAUAGACCUAGGCUCAAACCUUUUGUAAUUAUCAAUCAUUACUAUUUACAUUAUUAUUUUCGGUUGUAUUUGUUACUCCUAGGUUCAUUUGAGGCAUAUGAUACUUAUUAUUAUUAUAUUUGGUGGGCAUGGAGGUUCACCUGUUUAUCUUCA